GAAUUAAAUUCCCAACUCCUUGUCUCAUAACAAUUUGUAUAUAGUUUGGGCACCAUCUUUGCUAAUAAUCUGUGUUUUUGCAAUAUUUUCAGGUGUAAUAGCAGGUGUUCAAGAUGGAAAAGCUAAACUCGCAGCUAUACUUGCAGAACUGUUAUAUAAUCCAACAGAAUGAGAUGCUAAGGAAGAAAGCUCAGCGGCUAAACCAAGAGAAUCAGGCACUGUUGUCAGAGCUGAAGCAGAAACUCUCCAAGGCAAGCUCCAGUUCUACAACAAAUCCCGUUAAUUCUGACAAGCCCUGAUUCGUGGAUGUCUUAAUUCAGUAAUGCCCCCUCCCUUUUCUCCCCCUUUGUUCGUUGUGUGCAGAGCAUGGAGUGCCUAGUUACAUGUUGAAACUCUAGCCAGUCUUUAUUUUUAGAGGAAAAAAUGUGCUUGUGAAGAUAUAUUUGAUGAUUGAUAUAUGAAAUCUUCUGGUCUCUCUUUUACACCAAAGUUGUGUCUAGGGUGAGCCUAAACACACAGCUUAAUCUACCUGCAGCUUCUUGUCUAUGCUUGAAAAGCUAUGAUAGGAUACCUUGAAAUACUUUUUGUACGUAAUGUCUAUAUAUCUUCCUUUGCGCAUAUCUCUCUCUUACACUGCAAGCAAAAAAGAGAGAGAUUGAUAACAAGUCCUGCUGCAUUUCAGACCAUUAGUUUUCUCCAUGCUUUUCCAUAAAAUCUGGGUGUACUCCAGGAGCCAUGUCAGUAGAUACCGCAGAUACAGAAGAUUCCAAAAUAAAUCUUAAAAUUUCUGUCAACAAAACUGAUUGCAGAAAAGAAGCGCUAGAAACAGAAGAAGAUAAUGUAAUAAAAUAAAAAUCUGCCAACUAAAUUAUACCAAGAAAAGACUGCCGAAUAGCAAGCUUGAUAGCCCCUUUUAGCAACUUUAUAAUGAGCCGGGUGUCCAACAAUCUGUUUCAUCGCCUGAAACUUGGUCAGUGCAUCAGCUCCCUGAACUCAAUAUACAGCAUUAUAUCAUUCAAUUGAUGCAUCAUUAUGAUCUUGAAUCGAAGUCAGAUCGAUGAUAAAAAAAAAAAAAAAACCAACACACUUGCUAUUGUGGCAGAUUGAUGAUCUUGCACUUUUGCACCAAAGGAGAGCAGCUAUCUAAAUAGUUAGCCCAUGAAAGUUCCAUAACAAGAAAACCAGAUGAAUUCAGCUUUUAUUAUCAAGGCCUUCUCCUAUUAUGGCUGCAUAGCAAAGGAGCUACAGAAUGUUUAAAGUUCAAGCACCGCAAUGCUUUUUAUCAAGUCCCCACAUUAUCUACUCAAUAGAUACAUCAGAUUCGUGUCAUCAAGUGAUUAUAGCAAAACAAAAGGAGAUACCUGCAUAAGCAGAGGAUUAUGAACAGCCUAUGAAGAAGAUUAAUGAUGAAAUGUGGUGCAUAUAUAUGGUUCAAGAUGAAUGGUGAUUGUUUUAUUCUUAACAAAGGUCUUUUUUACUUCAACAAGCUUGUGUGGAAAACGAACCAUCGCUACUCCUCACAAUGACAUGUUCCUACUCUUCAUUCUCAUGAAGCAAGUCAAAUCCAGCACCAAUCAACCACUGCAACUCCACUUGCUCCGUACGUUAGCCAUUGGAUUUCAUUUCCUUAUAGAGUCAGAGCUAAUCAACAACUCGAUCACGUCUUCUUCUUCUUCUUCUUCCAUGACAUUAAAAUGGAAUGCGUGAGAGUGCAAUGUGCGUCCUGUGCUGUUCAUUCAACAGGGUUUUCGAGAAUCCUUCAAGGGUGAGUGUCUCAGAGUCUACAACUAUGUUCAGGAGUUUGCUGGCACGUUUCUACAUUAGGUUGAAUCAAACAUGCAGGGCCUAGCUUAUGCAUAUUGUAGAAGCCGCUCAUUGGGUUGAAUUCAAUCGCCUCAUCCUGAUAUCUGUCUCAGAGCUGUGACUUUUCCAUGUAUAGGUUCUAAAAUGGUACAUUAUUGAGGGGGAUGACCACCUACCAGCCUGUUGCAUUGUUUUAAAGAAGAACCAUUAAAAAAAAAAAACCCAACUAAUGCUUCGUUAUUUAGGCUUCUAUACUUGUGAUUGAAGGACAAGAUUUUGAUUAUUGAUGAGCAAUUAUUUUUGGUUGUUGGAGCAGGUCUAUUUUGUUGAAAAUUCACUACCCCAACUGAAACCUCCUUAUCUGAGGGAGGAAGAGCCC